CAUCGCUUACAGCCUGCAUUGUAAGUACAGCCUGCCCAAUGACAUGUUCAAUGGCCGCAGUAUUUUGACUGUGCAAAGGUAGCAUAAUCAUUUGUCUCCUAAUUAGAGGCUGGUAUGAAUGGCUAGACGUGGGAACAACUGUCUCACGUAAACUAUUUAAACUUAAUAUUUAAGUCAAAAAGCUUAAAUGCACCAGCAGGACGAGAAGACCCCGUAGAUCUUUAUAUUGAAAUCUUUUUAAAGCCUAGUCGAAACUAUUAUAAAGAUAAUAAAUAUUUGGUUGGGGUGACAUGAAGUCUUAAACACUUCCUACCCAAACGAUUAUAGUAGGCUACAUGACCCGGUUAGCCGAUUAAAAAAUUAAGUUACCUCGGGGAUAACAGCGUAAUCUGCCUUAAGAGUCCUUAUCAAAUGGCAGGGUUGCGACCUCGAUGUUGGAUUAAGAGCCUCAGCACGAGUAGCCCCGUGCUUGAGGGGUCUGUUCGACCCAUAAAUUCUUACAUGAUCU
rnacentral:rRNA from 1 species